GCCUCAUGGCUGAAGGAAUUCAAGUGUAGUAGUCAACAUGCACCUUCAAUUGAUGAAUACAUUGAAGUCGCCAUGACAUCUAUAGCCAUACAAGUAAUUACUCUUCCUGCAUAUUGCUUGGCUUGUUCAGGAGCUCCAAAGGACAACAUAAAAUCCCAUUACAGCGAAAUAACUAAGUUGGCAAUGUUCUGUGCUCGUUUAUUGAAUGACAGCCAGAGUUACCAGCGAGAAUUGGAGCAUGGGAAGUUUAACAUGGUACCACUGUAUAUGAAGGAGAAUGCAGAUGCAAGCAUCGAAGAUUCAAUUGACCACAUAAGGGACAUUCUUGAGAAGAAAGGGAAGGAAUUUGUUGAGCUUCUCUUCGGUGAUGAAUAUAAUAGUGUUCCAAAAUUAUGGAAAGAGCUACACUUGACAACUCUGAAAGCAUUUUGGAUGCUCUAUGAUACGACUAAUAAAUUUGACUCGCCCACAGCAUUGCAUCAAAACAUUAACAUGGCAUUUUAUGAUGCUUUGGAGAUUAAUGUUUAGACAACUCUAUCAUUAUAGCUAAAACCUUUUUUUUUUUUUGUAAGAGAAGAUUGUAUUGAUCGAGCAAUGUCUUGUUGAUGAAAUAUGAAGAUCAAUACAAGGGAGUAGAUUCAAUGGACCUCUUUGUUUUAAGUGCAAUGACAUGCAAUCAAAUAGCUAUUAAAUU